GCCGCUCGGCUAAACUCGGCUCUUUUCGUCAACAACCUCUUUGUUACAUCACCCACCGAUCUUAUGUACCACAUAGGCCGUGGCUAUGUACUAGGCUUCACAUAUUUUCUUGUCUAUAUAUAUAUUCCAUAUUACAUACGUAUAUAGAUGGCCCGAGGCGGACCGUCCCAACUCCAUGUUUCACGAGGUAGUCAGCGCCGCGACGGCAUACACUGCAAUUACCAGGUGUCCGAUUUAUCGGUGCAAAAUUUUCGGUACCAACGUAAAUCAUUAUGGGCGUUCCGAUCCAACGAUCCUGAUUUAUUCAACGGGCGCUCUGUUUUGCCAUCCGAGGUAGCCGAUGAUCCUGUCUUCUCAGUGCCGUCUUCGUAGCAUACCUGCUUCAGUCUCUCGGCACGCUUAAUGUAAUCGUUGACACGUAACCUUAGAGCUUUUUUCCUCUGGGGAUCAGGUUCAUCUAUGCGAAAUAUACAGAACUGAUUGGCCAAGCGUUUUUCAAUAUGGCGACUAGUGCUGCCACCACAAGAAGAAAAUGUAUCCAGCUUCACGGCACGUUGAACAAGGGCUACAGCCUUGUCGUAGUUGUCCUGGGUGGGUGCGUGGACCAGGUCCAGAAAGUCAUGAGAGAAAAAUUCUUCGAAGGUUAUCCUCUCGUUAGGAUUGUGCUUAAGAAGCGACAUCAGCAGAGCCUUACAUUCACUUGAUACAUGGCAACCUUUUGGUAACUGCUUUGACCGGAAAUGGUUAGAAAUGUGGAAAAGUUCCUGAAAGCUGCUGCUGGAAUAUGGAGCUUUGCCGAAGAGACAUUCGUACAUGAUGACGCCGACGCUCCAGAGAUCGACGCGGGCGUCGUACUUAUGUUGGAGCAACAUUUCCGGCGCCAUGUAAAGCGGCGAGCCACGAAUUGUGAAUUUUUUUUCUUGUGAGGAGAGAUACUGAGCGAAACCAAAAUCUGAAAUUGACAGUGGCCAUGUUGUAUUUCUUUGCUAUCAUGGGUUUUUUAGGUUUGGGAAAAUCGAAUUAGACGGUAUUUUGAAA